AACGUAGGAGACAAACGUUAUCCGGAGUUACUGGGCGUAAAGGGCGUGUAGGUGGUUGCGUAAGUCAGACGUGAAAUCCCCAGGCUCAACCUGGGAACUGCGUCUGAUACUGGAUGGCUUGAAUCCGGGAGAGGGAUGCAGAAUUCCAGGUGUAGCGGUGAAAUGCGUAGAUAUCUGGAGGAAUACCGGUGGCGAAGGCGGCAUCCUGGACCGGCAUUGACGCUGAGGAGCGAAAGCCAGGGGAGCAAACGGG
rnacentral:rRNA from 1 species